rnacentral:rRNA from 1 species
UACGUAGGGGGCGAGCGUUGUCCGGAUUUAUUGGGCGUAAAGAGCGUGUAGGCGGUUCGGUAAGUCCGCUGUGAAAGUCGGGGGCUCAACCCUCGAAUGCCGGUGGAUACUGUCGGGCUAGAGUACGGAAGAGGCGAGUGGAAUUCCUGGUGUAGCGGUGAAAUGCGCAGAUAUCAGGAGGAACACCAAUUGCGAAGGCAGCUCGCUGGGACGGUACUGACGCUGAGACGCGAAAGCGUGGGGAGCAAACAGG